rnacentral:rRNA from 1 species
CGUAGCCACGGUAAUACGGAGGAUCCAAGCGUUAUCCGGAAUCAUUGGGUUUAAAGGGUCCGUAGGCGGUCUUGUAAGUCAGUGGUGAAAGCCCAUCGCUAAACGGUGGAACGGCCAUUGAUACUGCAGGACUUGAAUUAUUGGGAAGUAACUAGAAUAUGUAGUGUAGCGGUGAAAUGCUUAGAGAUUACAUGGAAUACCAAUUGCGAAGGCAGGUUACUACCAAUUGAUUGACGCUGAUGGACGAAAGCGUGGGUAGCGAACAGGAUUAGAUACCCCAGUAGUCCCUGUCUCUUAUACA